rnacentral:rRNA from 1 species
AUUGAACGCUGGCGGCAGGCUUAACACAUGCAAGUCGAGCGGGGGAAGGUAGCUUGCUACCGGACCUAGCGGCGGACGGGUGAGUAAUGCUUAGGAAUCUGCCUAUUAGUGGGGGACAACAUCUCGAAAGGGAUGCUAAUACCGCAUACGUCCUACGGGAGAAAGCAGGGGAUCUUCGGACCUUGCGCUAAUAGAUGAGCCUAAGUCGGAUUAGCUAGUUGGUGGGGUAAAGGCCUACCAAGGCGACGAUCUGUAGCGGGUCUGAGAGGAUGAUCCGCCACAAGGGGCCUGCGACACGGCCCAGACUCCUACGGGAGGCAGCAGUGGGGAAUAUUGGACAAUGGGGGGAACCCUGAUCCAGCCAUGCCGCGUGUGUGAAGAAGGCCUUAUGGUUGUAAAGCACUUUAAGCGAGGAGGAGGCUACUCUAGUUAAUACCUAGGGAUAGUGGACGUUACUCGCAGAAUAAGCACCGGCUAACUCUGUGCCAGCAGCCGCAGUAA